AGUGAACGCUGGCGGUAGGCCUAACACAUGCAAGUCGAACGGCAGCACAGGAGAGCUUGCUCUCUGGGUGGCGAGUGGCGGACGGGUGAGGAAUACAUCGGAAUCUACUCUGUCGUGGGGGAUAACGUAGGGAAACUUACGCUAGUACCGCAUACGACCUACGGGUGAAAGCAGGGGAUCUUCGGACCUUGCGCGAUUGAAUGAGCCGAUGUCGGAUUAGCUAGUUGGCGGGGUAAAGGCCCACCAAGGCGACGGUCCGUAGCUGGUCUGAGAGGAUGAUCAGCCACACUGGAACUGAGACACGGUCCAGACUCCUACGGGAGGCAGCAGUGGGGAAUAUUGGACAAUGGGCGCAAGCCUGAUCCAGCCAUACCGCGUGGGUGAAGAAGGCCUUCGGGUUGUAAAGCCCUUUUGUUGGGAAAGAAAUCCAGCUGGCUAAUACCCGGUUGGGAUGACGGUACCCAAAGAAUAAGCACCGGCUAACUUCGUGCCAGCCGCCGCUGUAA
rnacentral:rRNA from 1 species